rnacentral:misc_RNA from 1 species
ACUUUGCAAGUCCAAAAUCUGACAGUUUUGGGUUGAAAUCAUUGUCUAACAAUAUGUUUGAAGAUUUCAAAUCACGGUAAAUAACAGGGGGAUUCGCUUUGCAAUGAAGAUAUUCAAGUCCAUGAGCUGCACCAGAAGCAAUUUUAAGUCUUGUGCUCCAACUCAGUGGCUUCUUUCCUGGUUCUACAUCAAAAAGAUGAUUCUCCAGGCUUCCCAUUGGCAUGAACUCAUAAAUCAAGAGCCUUUGGUCACCAUCGGUGCAGUAUCCAGUCAAGUUGACAAGAUUUUUGUGA